UUAACAACUGUACUACUAACUUAACUGCAGUGCUUCACUUAUAAACUGUGGCAAGAAAUUGUGGUCAUAAGCCUAGAACUAUUUGUUGCAUUCAUCCCAAAACUCAGAAAAUUGACUUAGUGCUAAUAGUAUUUACAUCCAUAUCAUACCUAGUCUCAGCACUAUUAGCAGUGUGUAUUAAUAUUGCUUGUAUGGAUCUAUAAUGGUUUACAUAUAUUUCUAGUCAGAGUCAAUUUCAAUACAACAUGUCAUCUACAUAAGGAUAGAAUGUACCAUAGCUUUCAGUCUUGAGACAGGCAGCUAAGUAAUUAUGCAUUUUCCCAGCACUUCGUCUACAUCACCAAAGUUAAUUGAGCUAAUGGCAGUUUUAAAUUAUUAUUUAUGCUGCUGCAUUGACUAAACUGGAAAAUUAGGAAAGAUAAACUAUUAUAAAUGUUUAUAAAACUAGUAGUAUAAAACUAAUAAAAGUCUAAUCUUGUGCUUAGAAAAGCCUAUAAUUACUAAAGUAAUUUCAAUAAAAAUAGCAAUGUUGUUCCAUAUCACUCUAGAACGAACGUUUUGCUUCAAACAGACUCUGAAUAUAUAAAUUUUGUUUUGUAAAUUGGAACAGCUGUUUCAAGCUUAGAAUAUUUCAAAGUCAGAAUAAUUUUAGACCUGUUCUGUUCCAUGCCUUACUGUUUCAGCAUGAAGAGGUUCCUAAUUUUCAUACAUGAUUACUUCAGACAAUUGCAUAGUGUUAUAGAAGUAGUUGUUCUAUGAUUUUGAAGUUAGAAGGAAUGUAAAUAUUCCAGAAAGUAUUACAUGUGUUUCCAGGUUAUGGUUAUGGUUACCCACACACAGCCUUUGUCAACAGCCACAAUCAAAACACUUUCAAUCAAACAUUGAGGCACAGCUAGUUCUCUGGAAUACAUGGAGACCUAGUAAAUUUAAAGUAACAGCAAAACUUUACUGUUAUAAAAUACAUUUGUCCUUUUUCUCUGUCACACACACAUACUGUCACCCACAUGCAUAUCAUUCUCAACUAUACUGCCAGAUACCAGCCAGAGAGUUGGAAGUUGCCAAGUCUAAAUCCAAAGAUGACUCAAAUAGUAGGUAGAAUUGAGGAAUCCUUUUGUCUCCCAAAGUCCUUGUGUUGUUGAUUCACAACAUUGGCAGCUACACUUGCCUUGUUGAUUUUUAAGUCUGGUAGCUAUUGAUGGGACUUGGGAAGGAGUUUUUCCAUGUGGCCAGGCCCAACUUCCUUUGUCCGGUUCAUGUAAAAAAAAAAAUUCAUUUGUUUCCUUAGCUACGUGGUUCCUUCUUAACUAUCUCCUCUAAGGGAUGUUUUAGACAAGAUUCCUGGCUUUUGUUUACCCUUAUGUGCCAGCUUUAUCUUUAGGUAUGGUAGCUUCAGUCUAGUCUCACAGAAAGAACUAGAUAGCAGCUGGAAGUCCAUGAUAAUUAUUGGAAGUAUAGUCCAAAGUUAAUGAUACCACCUACCGCAAAUAUAAAACUUAAAUUCUUGUUCUUACUAUAUCACCCAUUAAUGCAUAUUCUCUAAAAUAAAAUUUUAAAAUAGUAUUUAUUGGGAAAUGUGGGUACUGGUAGUAUGAUGACACUGUGAAACAAAUAUUUUUUAAAAUCCAUAGGAAAGAUCUCUUCCUAUCAGUUACAAAUAAACAACAAAAAUGUCAUGUUCAUAUAGAUCUUAAAAUAACUUCUAUUAUCUGUGGAGAUUGCUAACCUAGACCUACAUGAGAAUGAUUUCAUCGAGAUGAAUUAAGUAUUAGGAGUGGAUAGCUAAUAUCUUUUCUCUCUAGCUUCAACGCCCACAUGUAUGUCUCAUAAAUAACAAGUGGACCUUUCAGAAAAGUGUAUGUGGACAGCAGUGGAGGAUAGAACAUAGAACAUGGAAUAAUAGGAUUGGAAGGGACCUUGGAAGUCUUCUAGUCUAAGUCACUAUCCAAGCAGGACUCUAUAUUAUUCUGGACUAACUCUGUUCUUGAAAACCUCUGGUAAUGGAGUACCCACAUCUUUCAGAGGUAAGGCAUUAAUUGUUGUCAUGGUCAGGAAUUUUCUUCUUAGUUCUAGGUUGGUUAUUUUAAGGAAUUUAUAAAUAUUUAAGGAUCUUUUAAGAUAUUUCUGGAACAGAAUAAAGUGCUACUCUCCAAUAGCCUGGGGCAAAUGAAAGAUGGAAAGCACUAAAAGGAUUCAAUAAUUAGGACUAGAAAAGAAAAAUACGUAGGUUUAUGCAAUUGAUACCCCAUUUAUAGUGUCCUGAGGUGCCUUGACAAAUCAACAUCAAAAAGAAUAUAGUUCACUAUUAGUCUAUCUCGUUUAUAUACAUCAAACUGUGGGAUUUACAUUGGUUGAUAAUUCAGAAGAAUACAUUUCAUUGAAUUCAUUGACUACUAGGUAGACUCUUUUCUUUUAUCCUAAUAUGUAUUAGGUGCAAUAUGCUUAGAUUUGAAUAUUAUAUAUAAGGCAUGAAAACAUGCCUUAUAUAUAAUAUUAUAUGCCUUAACAGGUUGAGCAAAGAUGUACUAAUGCAAAUUCAUACAAGAAUGGAAGAAUAUGUCAGUUCAAUAGCAAUGUAAAUAAUGGCUGAUAUGACCUGAAAUCUUGGGAAAAUUAACAUCAACAUUCAGAUUACAUCCAUCUUUGAAAAAGCAAAUUAAAGUUUCCUGACAUUUGUAAGAUGCACCUAGACCUUCUAAUGAGCAAACAAGGUCACUUGGAAUGAGUCACUAGAGACUGAUUGCCCAAGGCGAAAUUGUCUCUUUGAGCUGCUUGCUUGUUCAUGCUUUGAAGUGCACUUAUGUAAGUGUCCCUGGAAUUCAAUCUUUACAUAAAAUGGAGACAAAUAAUUUAACUUAAGAUCACAAAAUGCCAACUUUCAUCAAGAUGCUUAAUCUCUUACAGCUAAUACUAUUAAAAUGUGAAUGUUUUUGCAAUAUUAUUCAAAUACUUAAAUCCCCAUUUUUAUUAGGAAGAUUAUUUUAUUUUUGAUAGUAGAUUGCACACUGAUUAUUAGUUUGUAAUUACUUAUGUACAAUCACAAGUAUGUAACUAUACAAAUAUAAGAGUAACUCUUGGGAUUUUCUGAAAAGUGUUAUAUUUGCAUACUAUCUUUGAACAACGUUUUCAUCUCUUCCUCCUUCUCAUAAUCCAAUAUAUUUGAUUCUUCAGAAAACACAGGUAGGCUCCUGUAACUUCAAUAUAAAGCUGAAGGUUCUUCAAAUAAAUCUCUCCAUCAAUAUACAAAUUGAUGGAGAUAUAAUUGCAAGCCAAAUAGUUUAUACUUCUUUGCAUAUUACUGCAGUAUCAGUCAAUAUUGCUAUUAUAUCAGUCAAAGGCCACUUCUCCAUUCUCUUUGCUAAAAAACUAAACAUUUUAUACUUGCAAAAGCAAGAGGAUAUAGAUAAAAACUGGGAGCUACCUCAUAAAUCCUUAAAUUAUCUAUCUUCAGUUUCAUGGAGGAAAAACAAAUGGAUAUAAAUCAAAUAAAAUUGAUUAAAUUCAUUUAGGAUUUUUUGGUUCAGUUUUUUGUUUGUUUGCCACAAACAGUUCAGCCUUUGACUGUUUAAAAACAGUAAUAAAAUAUUUUUCUUCAACUUCCGUUCAGCUAUCCAAGAAAGGUUUCUAUAGAAGAAAAAGAUAACUAUCUUUUUUUCCAAAAAUUAGGUAACAGUCUAGGGAGAAAACACUAGAGUAAUUAUGAAUUUUUCUACCUACAUAAGCAACUGAAUAUAUAGAUAAAUAGCCUCUAUUCAAACAAAAACAUAGUAAUUAAGUGUGAGAUAUAAUAAAUCGUGUCAGAUUCUCACUUUAGUAUCACUCUGCAUUAAGGGUCAUUGGUUCUGCUAUUUUGGUAGUGAACACAAUACAGAUAACACAUUUGUUUCCAAACUGAUCAUGAUUAAUAUUCCUUUUGUUGUUUGAGCUAAUGUAGGAGGUUAAAAUAGCCAAAUUAUAAAAGUAAGGGUUUUUUUUCUUAAACUGAUACUGCAUUUAUCAUUCAGGAGUUGCAGAAAACAUAUAUUGUAUAACAAUAUAUUUUGCAAUUUGUUUCUCAGCAGCCACCUUGUAUAUUGCAAAAGGGGGGACAUUUCCAAGCAAACAUCCAUAUAUAUUUUUCAUUUCAAAAUUUUCUUGAUUAAAUUUUUCCAAAUUCCAAAUUUUUCCAAAUUCCAAAUAAUAAGUACGUUAUUGAAAGAUAUUGUCACUGCUCUCUCUGUUAUUAUUUUCAUAAUAUAUUUUUCUUUUUAAAAUUUAAAAAACUAGAACAAUGUAGAAUGUUUACAUUCUUGAUAAAAAAUAAGCUAAGUGUAUUCAUUAAAUAUAUCAAUUUGAUUUAUGUGAUCUUCCAUUAAUGCAAUAUUGAAAUAUUUGAGUGUGUUCUGAAACACUCAACCUAGAUAAGUGUGCUAGGAAAGCAGCUAGCGGAGACCCAACACAGAUUUCAUGUAAUAAAUUGAAAAUAUUAAUUCAAAAUGAAAAUGAAUCUCUUAACAUCUUACAGAUUUGGAUAUAUUUCAGCAGCACUCCUCAGGGAAAGUUUGCAGCAUGAGCAACCUGAGACUGCUGAAACUAUAGAAAGCAGACUGGUUUUCUUACAGCUUCACUCAGCCUUCAUUGUGUUUUUUCAUAUCACUAGUGACUUAACAGGUCCAGCUGCCAUCAACACUUCAGGUACUUGUUUUACCUCUAUAAAUACAUAAUGAAUCAUUUCAGCAGUAUGCUGGCACCUGCUGAAAUCAUAUUUCAAUGGAGAAGCAGCAGUAAAAUAAUCCAAAGUAGUUUGAUCUUUUUGUGGUAGGCAAGGGGGAACUAAAAAUGAUUGCCAAUAUAAACAAUUACUGGAAGAAAGUUUCUGCAUGCUGUUUUAGGAGUUUUUCUGGGUCAAUCCUCUGUGAAACAUGCUGACUUAAGCAUCAGCUUUGAACACAUUGUAAUACGUUCGCAGAGAUUUAGGUCAAGCAAAGGCUGCCCUAAGUAAUUUUCAUCAUUUAAUUUUUCAGGAACAGUUAUUAAUGUAAGAGUUUUAUUAAAUAAUUUCUGUAAGCUAUAGCUGUUGAUCAGAAUCUUUCAGCGUUCUUAGAGGAAAUUAGUCCCAUUAAGGGAAAGUAGUAACACCUUGAGCAUAAAAACAGUUACAUCUUGUAGCAGAAGUUCAGUUUGCCAUUGCUGUGGUGAGAAUUUAUCAACACAUGAUAUAGAUUCAACCCCCAUAUUGGAAUUUAUGCAUGUGCAGUAUUUUCAGGUGGUGUUAUAUCUGUAUAUCAUCACUCUAGUAGGAAAUACUGUAUAUUGUUCUAGGCUAGGGAGAAAAAUGUUCUGUGUGAGAGACUGUCAGGCCUUUCAUUUAGGCCAAGUCAGGAAAUUGCAUCUAUAAAUCUGGUUGGUAUCCUGUUGAUGGAGGCUUACUAACAGAACCUGACUUUUUGCCUCUCCCUUUGUACAUUCAAGCAAAUUAGGGAAAAGUCAGUCUAAGCUUGUUCUUCAUGUCUUCUGUUUUGUAGGCACAUUUUUGUAAUCCUUAUUUCUCUAAGAUCUUUUUCUUUCAUCUCACCACAUAUACACACAGACACACACAUCCCUGUCUCUUUACAGGCAUGAAGAAUUUUGGAACCUGAGGAUAAUCCAGAAGACAAGAAAUUAGAGCUCUCUGCUUUCAUCAAUUCGAAUGACUUGGUCUCAGAUUUAGCCAAGGAUCUACAGUAUUAAGGACAUUGCUGGAAUAGAAAAGUUAUAGUUGCCAUAUCAGUAUUAAUUUGUAUCUUUGGAAAGAAAAAAGUCUAUCUAACAAAGUAAGGAUAUUCAAAAAACCUAAUGCAACAAUGUUACAAAUAAGUCUCAAAGAAAAUGCUGCCUAAUUCUAGUUAUGUGGCAGAAUAAGAAAUCUGAAUUAGCAUUUAGAAAGUAUGAUUGAAUGAUUUCAAAGGUUGUGAUAUCCUGAUAAAUUUAUAGCAGCCUUUCUUACAUUAUUAACUGGACCUGUCAGAAUUGCCAUUUCACUCCUGGGCUUCGCAUACGUUAGCUGCCAGUCUACCAUGAACUAUGGGGGAGCUGGAUGGGGGUGGAGGCUAAUGACUCAUCGUAGCUUCUAAAGACACAACUUCAAGGUCAGACGUCUGGGAAAGGCAUUCACCUCCAAACCGUUUAUUUUACAGUUGAAAAGACUGUUCCUAAAACAUUUUCUUUGAAUAUGAUUGGACAAUGAGAGGUCAACAAUAGGAAGGGACAAAGGGAGAAAAGUUAUCCAUGAAAAGUUGGUGUGCAAACCUCAGUUUUGACUUUUCUAUAAGGUAAUAUACUUGGCCCUUAGUAAAGUAAACCUUUUACACCGAAUGGAGUUCAGGGUUGUUCUUGCUUAAGGGACUAAGCUGGGACAGGGCUGUCAUCUCCAGACUUUUCUUGAAUAUAUUUAUGUGAGUUUAUGUGUGAAUGCAUGAAUGGUAUUUGACUUUUUUUUGCUGUAAAUAAAUCUCAUAGCUUUUCAUUUUUAAAAGUUUCCAUUGUAUUAAGUUUACUAAUAAUCCCCUGGCUUUCCACUUGGAACAUUUUGGUAAUUAUGACUUAAGUCACAUUGAGUUAAUGAUGGUAAAGCAUGAGUAAAUUAAGUGGGACCCAAGUUCAUAUGUUAAGUAAUUUUUCUUUAUAUUUAAUUCCUGAUUACUGGCAGUCCUACACAUGUUUACGCCAAAGUAAUUCAAUUUUCCUACAAACGGUUUAUUACUAAAUAACUGGGUAUAGACUAAAUUUAUUCCUUCAGGUAAAAUAGGUAAAUAUAUUUUA